UUUCUUUCAGGUGGACCAGUGACAUGCUAUUACAAAAAUUCCACGGUUGGUUUGUUAUCAAGAAAUUGCACUGAUCCUUGUACCAAUGGCACAUCACAAUGGAAUCAGACCUCCCAUGACAAUGCUACAUGUUUCACCGGCCUACCAACGUUAUUAGCAACUCUGGGAGAAGUCGAAACGUACAACUGCACUUUGGGGAAAUGCAAAAACGGAACUUGCAUCCCAGAUGGUACAUACGCCAGCUGCUGGUAACGGAAGCAAGAAGAAACAUGAGGUUACUCGCCCCACAGGCUGAAAACACCACGUGUUAACUAAAUCGGCGAAUAAUAUUAUGUAGAAGCACUUUACCGGUAGCUGUGGUUUGGUAAUAUGAAAUAAAUUU